rnacentral:rRNA from 1 species
UACGUAGGGUGCGAGCGUUGUCCGGAAUUACUGGGCGUAAAGAGCUCGUAGGUGGUUUGUCGCGUUGUCCGUGAAAACUCACAACUCAAUUGUGGGCGUGCGGGCGAUACGGGCAGACUGGAGUACUGCAGGGGAGACUGGAAUUCCUGGUGUAGCGGUGGAAUGCGCAGAUAUCAGGAGGAACACCGGUGGCGAAGGCGGGUCUCUGGGCAGUAACUGACGCUGAGGAGCGAAGGCGUGGGGAGCGAACAGG